GGUGAAAAGCACCCCGGAAGGGGAGUGAAAUAGAACCUGAAACCGUGUGCUUACAAGUAGUCAGAGCCCGUUAAUGGGUGAUGGCGUGCCUUUUGUAGAAUGAACCGGCGAGUUACGAUUUGAUGCAAGGUUAAGCAGUAAAUGUGGAGCCGUAGCGAAAGCGAGUCUGAAUAGGGCGUUUAGUAUUUGGUCGUAGACCCGAAACCAGGUGAUCUACCCUUGGUCAGGUUGAAGUUCAGGUAACACUGAAUGGAGGACCGAACCGACUUACGUUGAAAAGUGAGCGGAUGAACUGAGGGUAGCGGAGAAAUUCCAAUCGAACCUGGAGAUAGCUGGUUCUCUCCGAAAUAGCUUUAGGGCUAGCCUCAAGUGAUGAUUAUUGGAGGUAGAGCACUGUUUGGACGAGGGGCCCCUCUCGGGUUACCGAAUUCAGACAAACUCCGAAUGCCAAUUAAUUUAACUUGGGAGUCAGAACAUGGGUGAUAAGGUCCGUGUUCGAAAGGGAAACAGCCCAGACCACCAGCUAAGGUCCCAAAAUAUAUGUUAAGUGGAAAAGGAUGUGGCGUUGCCCAGACAACUAGGAUGUUGGCUUAGAAGCAGCCAUCAUUUAAAGAGUGCGUAAUAGCUCACUAGUCGAGUGACACUGCGCCGAAAAUGUACCGGGGCUAAACAUAUUACCGAAGCUGUGGAUUGUCCUUUGGACAAUGGUAGGAGAGCGUUCUAAGGGCGUUGAAGCAUGAUCGUAAGGACAUGUGGAGCGCUUAGAAGUGAGAAUGCCGGUGUGAGUAGCGAAAGACGGGUGAGAAUCCCGUCCACCGAUUGACUAAGGUUUCCAGAGGAAGGCUCGUCCGCUCUGGGUUAGUCGGGUCCUAAGCUGAGGCCGACAGGCGUAGGCGAUGGAUAACAGGUUGAUAUUCCUGUACCACCUAUAAUCGUUUUAAUCGAUGGGGGGACGCAGUAGGAUAGGCGAA
rnacentral:rRNA from 1 species